GACGAACGCUGGCGGCGUGCUUAACACAUGCAAGUCGAACGGUGAAGCGCCUUACUUUUUGGUUGGUGUGGAUGAGUGGCGAACGGGUGAGUAACACGUGAGUAACCUGCCCCCUUCUUCUGGAUAACCGCAUGAAAGUGUGGCUAAUACGGGAUAUUCUGGGUCUGUCGCAUGAUGGGUCUGGGAAAGAUAUUGUUUCGGUGGGGGAUGGGCUCGCGGCCUAUCAGCUUGUUGGUGGGGUGAUGGCCUACCAAGGCGGUGACGGGUAGCCGGCCUGAGAGGGUGGACGGUCACACUGGGACUGAGACACGGACCAGACUCCUAAGGGAGGCAGCAGUGGGGAAUAUUGCACAAUGGGCGCAAGCCUGAUGCAGCGACGCCGCGUGAGGGAUGGAGGCCUUCGGGUUGUGAACCUCUUUCGCCAGUGAAGCAGGCCUGCCUCGUUUGUGGGUGGGUUGACGGUAGCUGGAUAAGAAGCGCCGGCUAACUACGU
rnacentral:rRNA from 1 species